rnacentral:rRNA from 1 species
CACGUAGGGGGCAAGCGUUGUCCGGAUUUAUUGGGCGUAAAGAGCGCGCAGGCGGUCGUUCAAGUCGCGUGUGAAAGCCCCCGGCUCAACUGGGGAGGGUCACGCGAUACUGAUCGACUCGAAGGCAGGAGAGGGUAGUGGAAUUCCCGGUGUAGUGGUGAAAUGCGUAGAUAUCGGGAGGAACACCAGUGGCGAAGGCGACUACCUGGCCUGUUCUUGACGCUGAGGCGCGAAAGCUAGGGGAGCAAACGGGG